rnacentral:lncRNA from 10 species
AGGCUCAAAGGAUUCAAAUACUUGCCCAAGGUCCCAGGUUCGUUUGAUUGACAGAGCAUGAGUACCCUCCUAAAUGCCCCUUGAGGUCUCUAUAUUUAGGAGGAAGCAGCUUCAGAACUCUAGCUCCCCACCCCAGGUCCAUUCCAGUUUAGAAACUCCACAGCCACCUCAACAGCAGGAACAAAGGUGGGUCUCUGUCCUGCCUCUGGGGCCAGGCUGGCUGAUGGCUUCAGGCCCAACCAAAAGAUCCCUUCCACCCACCCGACUCUAGCAACACCCACAUCACCAACCCUGGGCCUCCCACCAGAGCCUCCACCUUCUAGGAAGUCACCCUCCCUCCUGCAAGAUGCUGGUGGCUGAGACUGGAGGGACCCUUUCAAUUUCAGGAUAAACAAACUGUCGUUCUGGCCCAGCCCUCUGCCGGCUUGCUGCUUCCCGCCCCCCUCCAUCCGCAGUGCACAGUCGCUCUGUUCUCCUGCCAACUUGGCAGCUCAUCGCUGCUGUUACUAUCAACACCUCCAAGGGAAAAGGGAGAGGAGUCAGCUCUGAUCGCCUGGCGCACUGUGCAGCAAAUUCAUGUCAGAGCCAGCCUUGGAAUGUCUCCCAAGCUCCCAAGGCUCCUGGAGCCUUUCUCCCAGAUGUGAAACUGAUCCUAAGACCCCCUGUAAUUUCCUGCUGAAAAUCUCCACCAAGAAACACAGCCACAGCCACAGUUCUUCCUGGUUGUGAAAAGUGAAAAAGAAAAUCUAAAAAAGACAAAUGGAGAAGGAACAGCUAGUGAAGUCAGAGGAAGAUUGGAAGACCCUGGUGUCCUGGAAGCAACUGAAGAAAGUGUUUCAAGAAGAAAGGAGUGAUCACAUGACUUAAAAUGCCACCGAUGGGUCAAAUAAGAACAGAGAAUUGACCAUGGAAUCUGUCAACACAGAAGUCAUCAGUGGCCUUGAUAAAUGUAGUUUCACUGCCAUGUGGGGGAAAAAUGAUGUCAUCAGCUGAAAGUGAGAAGCAAGGAGAACUGCGUGCAGGCCUGAAAAGAAAGGAGGCGUGAUGCAGUCAUCUGCCAGAGGGAGUAGGAGAGGCGACUUGCCUGGGGAAAACAGUGUAGGAUUGCUGGGCAGCAAUAUGGCAGCAAUGUGGUCCUCUGAGGAACGGCCACGUGAGGACACAGCAAGAAAGUAGCCAUCUACAAUUCAGGAAGAGUCUUCACCAGAAACCAAAUUGGACAGAAUCUUGGUCUUAGACUACUAGUCUCCAGAGCUGUGAGAAAAAAAAAAUCCAUGCUCAAGCCACCCACUCUAUAGCAUUUCGUUAUGGCAGCCAAGCUGAUGAGUACAAGCAUCAAAGAACUUGCAGACAUAUUUUAAUGUCACUACAAGGCCCCAGGGUUUAUGUAAGUAUAUUUAUCAUGCUGGACCAUGGAUUAUAAGCUGAGAAGUGAGGGAGGUGACAGCAUGGAGGAAUGCGUGAGUGAAAGGACUGGGGAACCAGUGUGUGGAAGGAAGUUCUCUGAGGGGAAGAGUGUAGGAGUGGGUGUACAAGGGAAGCAAGUUGAACAGAUAUGAGGUAGUGGUCAGAGAAAGCUGCUUGAAAUGGAGAUCUUGGACAUGGCACAGUUACUGCUGGUGAUAAGAUCUAGCAUUAGAUGAUGGGAGUGGGCAGCUGAGGCAGGCAGGGAGGGACAGGUCACUGGUGGUGAGAAGAUUAAUUAACUGGAGGCAGAAUGUUGGAGGGGUCAUCUAAUAGACACGGACCAGGAAUGAUGCUGAGUAUGGUGAUGAACAGACUGAUAGUGAGCCAGGUGCUCAUGUCUUUCACAAAUGGGGGAGUGAUGGGGAGAGAGUAGAUGAUUGCCACAGGGAGCAGUAGCAGGACAGAGCCUGACAGCCAGUGAGACACAAAGGGACAGUCCAGGUUUUAAUUGAGGGGGUGGGAGUUACUACUGGGUUGGCUAUUAAGGAGCCAUAUGCACAACCAAGUUAGGAGGAGAAGCAGAGGAUCUGAGUGCAUGCGUAUGCACACACACACACAAAUGCAUGUGCAUGGCAGAUGGUAAUAGCAUGUAUCUCAUAGGGCUGUUAAAAGGACCAACUGAGCUAAUACUUAGUGCUAAGACAGUGCCUGUGUGGGGUGUUUUCUGACACCAACCAACUCUCCAACAUCAACUGGGUGUCCAGCAAUUCAAUUCAAUUCAGUUCUGACACUACCGGGAGUUAGCAUCAGUUCCCACAAGUUAAAGGGAUCAAUCCCCCCACUUCCAGUGCCAGCUGCAAAUAACAAGCUACCCACACUUCUGCCCAGAUGACUACAAAUUUAGGCAUCCCCACACCACCCCCGAAGAGGUUCAGUAAUUUAUUAGGACAACUUGCAUUUAUUGGUUUAUUAUAAAGGAUACAAAUAAACAGCCAGAUAAAGAGCUACACAGGGCAAGAUCUGAAUGGAUGCCGAGUAUAGAAGCCUCUGUCUUCUGCAUUCACCAACCUUGGAACUCUUUGAAUUUCUUUGUUCAAAAG